GCUACCCGUUGCUUCUUAGAGGUUGAUUGUACCUCUUCUAUUUUCACCUUGUCCAUCUUGGUUUACAAAGAAUCUCCGAUACUCAAAAUCUAAGGUGCGUGGUUAGGCGAGAGAGUGUGAGAGGGGAGCGGCGGCGAGUUCGUCGUAAGGCUGACGCUGCGGCAGCUGAGAUUGCAACGAACUGCGGCAGCCGCUCAGACUGCGACAGGGAUGAUGGGAGUGCGGCGACCGG
rnacentral:misc_RNA from 1 species